rnacentral:rRNA from 1 species
GAAUUUUAUAUAAAUUUUAUAAGAAGUUUAAUUUUAGAGAAUAUAAAAUUUAUAUUUUGUUGGGAGGAUAAUUAAAUUAAAGGAACUUUAAUAAUAUAAAUCCAUUAAUUUAUGAAUUAUAAGUUAGAGAAUGAUAAAAAUUUUAAGUAGAAUUAAUUACCUUAGGGAUAACAGCGUUAUAUUUUUAGAGAGAUCUUAUUGAUAAAAAUGAUUGC